rnacentral:lncRNA from 1 species
AGCUAUUCAAAAAGGGUGAAAUGUACAGAUGCACCACACAAUCUUCAAAAAUAACAGACUUCCAAAACAUGGGUAAAGUUAACAUCAACUCAAUUCAGCUCCUAUGUCAAGUCUUCAGUACUGCUUUCAUCUCCUUCGAUAUCAUCACCUACAUACAAUUAAUGAAAUACAAAAUAAUUUAGCAAUUUUGUUGCAAAAGUUCAAUGACUUCAGUGAUAUAUUUUAAAGUUAUCACUCUAUAUCUACAACAUGCAUAAAAUUCAAUAAGAUUUAUGUAUAUGAUUCUUUGGAAUGGUCAUUCUUGGAACAGAUUCUGGAGGAGCUUCAAAUGCCAACCAAAGUCAUUCAGUAGUGGAUCAUGCAAUGUGUUACUACAAUCACUUAUUCUAUCUAGAUAAAUGGACAUAGCACAACUCUUUUUAAGGCCAAGACGGGAGUGAGACAAGGAGAUCCAAUGUCUCCUUACCUGUUUGUGCUAGCUAGCCAUGGAUUACUUGACUAGAAUUUUAAAGUACUUGCAGAAAAAUACUGAUUUCCACUAUCAUCCUAGAUGCAAAAAAAAAGAACAUAGUGCAGUUGAGCUUUGCUGAUGAUCUGCUAAUGUUUUGUAGAGGCGAUAUAAAAUCAGUGAAGUGUAUUAGAAAUUGUUUUAUGAUGUUCUCUAAAGCUUCAGGUCUGGUUGCAAAUGAAGAAAAGAGUAGUGUCUAUUUUGGAGGAGUCAAUAAACAACAGUAAGAGGAGAUUCUGCAGGAGUUAGAAUAUGUGAAAGGUGAACUACAUUUUAGGUACCUUAAUUGGAGUGCCCUUGAGUACUAAAAGGAUUUCCAUUAUACAAAUUUUGGAGCCCCUAGGUGGUUGUUCAUCAUGUAUUUAGCAGUGAAAAGAAGACUUGCAACCAAAGAUAGAUUGGCAAAGUGGGGAAUCAUUCAAGUACUAACCUGUCCCUUAUGCCAAUCGGUAGAUGAAGAUCAUGAUCACAAUUUUUUUUAAUGUGCAUAUGCAACAGAGCUGUGGAGGAGUAUACUACAUUGGCAAGGAAUAGAAAGAAAUGCAAUGAACUGGACUAAUGAGAUAAAUUGGGCAGUGCACUACAUGAAAGGGAGAAGCAGCAAGUCCCUUGUGUAUAGAAUGGCAAUGGUAAACACAGUUUAUCAUUUAUGGCUAGAGCGCAAUACCAGAAUUUUUCACAAAACAGCAGUCAAUAAGCUACUUGACCAGGCAUAUAAUUAAGGAGAUACAUGGAAGAGGCAUUAGGUAUCCAAGAAUAACUACUAGAUUAAGCACUUUAAAUUCUUACCCAUAGAGAUAGCUAGCAGAUGUGAGAACUUUGUUUAGCAAGGAUAGAGCUUAUGUCCAUACCGACUACUUUUUGCUUUGUAACGUUUACUUGGUAAAUAAAAUGUUUACUUACCAAAAAGAAAAAAUAAUUCAAUAAGAUUCAAAUGACAUCAAGAAAAUAGCAUAGUUGCAAGAGAUAUUUGCAUACUGCUUCUGGGAAUUAUACCAGCUAGAGUCUCUAUUCAAGUACAGAAUAUGGCUGGUUUUUCUUCACAGGUCUGUGCAACUACUAUAUAGUGUUUGAUAGACCAGCCUUUUAAGUGAUAUCUACUUCCUCAUGUCUUAGAAUGCCUCCUACAGUUUUGAGCUGGGAGAUUUGGAAGCCUAGAUGCAAAGCGAGAUUUGAAGGCUCAAAGGUUUCUACUUACAGAGUUGCGGAACAGGUAAAAAGAUUGAUGAUUCUAAUUCUUAACAAACACUUUCCAUGUCUUAAUUUCAGAGGAAGUUGGAAAGAGUUGUGCAGCAAGAUUGAAAGAGCAAAGCCAACUAUUAACAGAUCAUGAAGACUAGCAAUUUUAGAAUAACUCACUGUUUCAGAGAAGCUAAUGAAGUCGCUGAUUUACUAGCCAAUGUUAGGGUCAUGGUAAAGCAUGACACAUUCUUUACUGAGGUGUUUUGUUUGCCUAGACAAGUGAAAGUUGCACUGAAGAAUGAUCAGUAUGGCAGGCCUAAUCUCAAGAUCAGAAUUAAAAAAAGACAUUUCAGUUUCUAACAUGUAUUUAUGCACUUUUAUUUUCAGUUAUUUUUAUACCCUUCAGGGACAUGUUAUCUCAGAUGUGAGUCUAUCUUCGAGCUACAUCCAAACUUAUUGUCUAUGUAUACGACACUUUUUGUACAAGGAUGAAAUUUUCAUCCUUAUUAACCCCCAUCAUUACAAGCACAGUCAAUACCUGCCAUCUAUAUCUCCAAUGUCAUUGUCUUGCUUAUAAUGACUAGCAUGUUAACCAAGUACGCCACGGAAGAGAAGCAGUGAUUGCAAGACAUUCAAAACACAAUGGAAUGCUUGCAAUCAUCUUCAAAUCAAAAGACUACUACGUUAUGAUGAUGGAAGAAUGUAAGUAUACAAUUUGGGGUGGAAUCUUAGCUGCAAAAGUAAUCAAAACUGUCCACAAACAGGAGAACCAAUCUUAAUGAACAGAACUGGAAAAUCUGAUUCAGAUUAGCCAGACACUAAAAGUAGGGGAAGAAGUAGGGUUAGGAAAAAUGGGAGGAAAAAUAGAAGCCAAAACCAACCCUCUCAAAAAAGAAAAGCAAAAAAUGAUAACACAGGCCAUUCACAAGAGGUGUCUGCUACCACAGGCCAUUCAGGCUAAAACGUACGUGUACUAUAAUAUAAAUAUGAAAUUGUCUUGAGAUUCAUUAGGCAAUGAUCAAGAGGGCUAGCUUACAAAACUCAAAUCACCAUCAAUUCAGUUAACAAACUAGUCCACCAGGAAAUCGAAAAAUACACUGUUAAGUGUAGCCAAGAGUAUUAAUGUUUUCUACUGUCAAGAGAAAGUACAGUCACAACAGAGAAAUGAAAAAGAGUUGCAAAAGAAAGAUAAAGUAGUAGUAGAAGGAGAAGAAGAAAUAGUCUAAACAGAGAUUUAGCCACACUAACCUUGCUCAGCUGUUUGAGCAGAAGUAGCUUCUCUUGGUGAAGGAACAGACAAUGCUGCUAGUAUGUUA